UUUGUCUUUAGUGUCUGGUCGUUCUGGCAUUUUAAGCUGGAAAGCUUCACAAAGGUCAGAGGUUACAAAUUCAAUUCUCUGAGUAACACAUCCAUAUCAUAAACUGAUAUAAUGUUCCUAUGAUAAUGAAUAAAUAAUAAAAUAAGCUUAGCUGCUAUUGGGGAACAAACAUGUUCCAAUAUCCCCACUGGGUGGCUUUGGAAAAUGCAGCUUUGCUGCUUUUCAGCUGACGACCUCAUCAAAGGUGAUUCAUACGACACCAAAGUAAAUAAACAAUAAACAGGCUGUUAAGUUACAGAAAGCUCCUGUUUUUUCACCAUCUAGUACAGAAAUUUAUUAGAGAAACUUCAGAGGUGCUGGUAAAGUUGCACUUCUCUUUCUUACACUGAGAUAUGUCAGAUUAAAUGUGAACUUAAACUACUUUACAUCGAGGGGAGUUUAAUGUGGCCCACGAUGUAAAACCAGUUUGACAUCCCUGACCCAGAGUCAUUCACUAAUAUUAAUGAACUGGUAAACAACAUGCUGUCAUUCAAACAGGGUUCAUCUUCACUUUUAAGGUCAGUAUUCACUCAGAUCUGCCAGUGACAGUGAUGGAAGAGCAACACCUCCACCUUUUAAAUACAUUAAAUGGAAAGGAUUUAUAAUACAGUGGGUCGUUCCAUGUCACUGUGAUAGAUCUGGAUAGAUGAUGAACAUUAGAGGUACACAAUAUUUUACCUUCAUACAAUAAAAUAUUUCAGGUGUUAGAGGUCAUUGAGUUACACAUAGAGCAGGUGAAACUUGUCAAUUAUUAUGUCCUAAUAUUUUUUUUCCAGGAUUUUUCUCAAUUAUAGCGAUUCGGGUAAAUGAUGCAUCAUUUGUCUGAACUCUGUAGUGAUGUCAUGUAGUGUGAUCCAGGAUUAAAUUAAACAAUUAGUUUUUAAACCAGUGUUGUUUUGUAAGUUUAGUGUUUUGUUAGUUUACACAUACUAAACCGUAGAGACAUUUGAAACCUGCUGUUCAUGAGGAUGCUAGUUAAAAUCCCGGUUCUGUUGUUUAUGUUUUCUGUAGAUCACAAAACCAACAACAGCAGCAACAAGAAGCACAGCAGGAACACUCAGACCAGCGAUGAGUCCAACAGGUGCAACUGUGAGUUCUGCUGUCUGACCUGCAGGUGAGAAACAGGUGUGAGGUGUCAGCUGUCAGGUAGGUGAUGAGUGAAGAACAGAACAGAAUCCAUUUCCUCUUCAAACUGCUGUCAGACAUUAUCUACUGCACUCUGAUCACAUCACUCAGACCAGCUGCUUUCUACAAAGUCUCAUCAACAACAUCUUUAGAAACAAACAUCAACAACCAGGAAGCAGCUUCACCUCUGAUCACACACACACUCAACUCUACUCACUCACCUGAAACAGUCAGGCUGACAGUGUUGAUGAUCUCCCAUGAAUCUGUCACUCCGUUGAAAAUAUCACAAUUGUAUGAUCCACCAUCAGCAGUCGUCACAUUCUUCAGAAUCAAAGAUACGUCUCCAUCCUUCAUCUGUCUGUCCUGCAGAUCCACCCGGUUCUUAAAAGAUGGAUGCUGCUCUUCUGGAUCCAGCUGCUCAUCCCGGAACAGAAGCACAUAUUCAUCUCCCAGGUCAGCUCUGCUCCACUUCACAGCUCUGAUGGUUUUGUCUGGUGAUACUCGACAUGGUAGAACUACGUCCUGUCCAGACUCAGCUGUGGUAGUGCUCUGGGCUGAAAAAGGAAACAACACAGAGCACAGAGGUUAAAGGUCAAAGUACAACUGUUCAGUUCUACAGCAGCCAAUCAGAGACAGGAUCAGUGACCAGUGAACCCCACUGAACCAAAGAAGAGGAA
ensembl:lncRNA